GACGAACGCCGGCGGCGUGCUUAACACAUGCAAGUCGAGCGGUAAGGCCCUUUCGGGGGUACACGAGCGGCGAACGGGUGAGUAACACGUGGGUGACCUGCCCUCAGCUCUGGGAUAAGCCUGGGAAACCGGGUCUAAUACCGGAUAUGACUCCAUGACGCAUGUUGUGGGGUGGAAAGCCUUGUGCGGCUGAGGAUGGGCCCGCGGCCUAUCAGCUUGUUGGUGGGGUGAUGGCCACCAAGGCGACGACGGGUAGCCGGCCUGAGAGGGCGACCGGCCACACUGGGACUGAGACACGGCCCAGACUCCUACGGGAGGCAGCAGUGGGGAAUCUUGCGCAAUGGCGAAAGCCUGACGCAGCGACGCCGCGUGAGGGAUGACGGCCU
rnacentral:rRNA from 1 species